rnacentral:lncRNA from 1 species
GGGAGAGCCGGGGGCUGCGGGGCGGGGCGCGGCGGGGGACGGAGGCCCCCGGGUCCGCACGGCACGGGGCCACAGGGCGCGCCUCCUUACCGGCUCUGGGUGCCUGUGCAGCCCCUGGGUGAGCGCGGUGCCGCCGAGGGGCCGGGGUCGCUGACCUCGUCCGGCUGGUGCCUGGCCUCUGGCGGAGGCUCUCUCCCGGCUCGACGGCGGAGCCCGGAGCUAGGAGCCAGUUGGAGCGCUGCCGCCGCCGUCGUCGCCGCUGCCGCUACUGCCGCCGCCGCCGCCGCUGCAGCCUCUGCAUUUCUCGCGCUCGCUCCCCCUCCCCUUCCUGCCCAGCGCCCUCCCCCCCGCGCGUCUGCCCGCCCAGCCUCCCUCCUCCCGCGCUCCCCGCCCGCCGCUUUCCCCUCCCUCCAGCCCGGUGCCCCGCCCGCCUCCCCUCCACUCCCUCCAGCUCGGUGCUCCCCACCCCCUGCACUCCCUCUACUCCCUCCCUAUCCAUCCCUCCGGCGCAGACCCUCCCCUCUCCUCCAGCCCCAACACGCCCGCCUCCACUUCACUCCCCCCAGCUCUGGGCCCUCACCUCCCCUCCCCUCCAGCACAGUCACCCCCAUUUCUCUCCCCUCCUCCAUCCUGGUCCCUCCCUUCCCCCCACCUCUCCCCCCUCCCUCCAACCCAGUGCCCCGCCAAUGUUUCCUAACUGCCCUCUAUUCAGAUCCCCCUCCGCCUCCCCUCUCCUCCCCUCCAUUCCGGUGCCCCCCUUCCCCCUUCCCCCGCCGCGCCUGGGCUGUCCGUGGGCUCCUCUCUCUCUCUCUGUCUCUCCCCCCACCCCCGCUUCUCAUUUAUUCGGAACGGUUGGAGAAGUGCUUGGGCUCUCGCUCAGACUUAGGGAGCUGCCUCGAGGUGAUGCCUGACGCCCAGGGCACCAGCUACGCUUCUCAGACCCCAGUCCAGCCAGCUCCCGACGAUGGCUGCGAUUCCGCUACCACCGCGGGCAGCGAGGUUGGGGUGAGCCCCAGCUGCGCGUCUGGGCGGCGCAGUUGCAAACGAAUUGCGCACCUCGGGCGGCUCCGCACCUGCAUCUACACCCGCAGGCGCACACGCGGGGCUGAGCCCCGAAGGCUGCAGCUUCAGGGAGGCGCGGCCGCAGAGGUCCAGGUGGCAGAGCUAGCCACGUCGCCCCUCGGAGGAUGCUCUCGGGACUUGGGAGAAGAAGGAGGGAAGAGAAGAGGGGAAAGGGGCCGUCGAUGUUUCUGA